GCCUGCCCACUGUAUCUUCAUCCAAUCAGGGCAUCCUUUAGGAUGGUAGAGCGCUGUGAUUCAGAAAUGCUUUAAUAUGGAGUAUUAGAGCAACGCCCCGUAUCCUUGGGUCUGGUUACCACAGUUUCAGUUACCUGCAGUUUACCGUGGCCUGAACAUAUUAUAGGGAAUGUUCCAGAACCAGGGACCAGGAGGCUGCCAGGAAGGAAGAACUUCAUAUUCAGCUGUUUACUUUGACUUAUACUGUGCUUUCACGGAAGUGAUAGCUUUUUGCUAAAAAGAAUUCAAGUUAUAUUUUGCAACUGAACAAGAGGGCAUUUUAACCAGAAAAGAUGUUUAAAUCAUGAGGAAAAUACAAAAACUAAAAAAUAUUAAUUGUUGCACUGAAACAUUUCCCAGAAAAUCCUUUCGAGUUCUUUGACAUCAUUCCACCCACAAAUGUAGCUAUUUGUGCAGGUUCAGGGACAGCCUCAGAUCAGACGCUCCAUGGGGAGUAAGUGGGAGAAAUCAUCAUUUCAUUCUUAGGAAAUUCAAUAUCAGCAAUUUAUUCAAAAGACUUCCUGGACCAUCUUUUCAAGCUUUGACCUUUACUCAAGGAUGCCAUCAAUAUUGUUUAGUUUGUGAAUGUAGAAAAUAAAACAUGUUCUCUCUUCUGUGUUCUGCUGGAUUCUGCAAACAUUAAGAGCAAUGAAGGCAAAUGGAUGAGAAGGACUGGUCUUCUCAUGGUUACUGUUCUUACACUGUGUACAAUAUUUGAUAUGUUUCAGUUCUAAUGGAUUAAAAUCUAUAAUGCAGCUUUUUAUUUACUGUAAUAUAACUUUGGA